ensembl:lncRNA
CUUCUUCAGAGCAUGCAGUGAAGCCAGAACAUGUGAUAGAUUUGACCUGUUAUAACAUCUCUGUUUCUGAAACAGCUUUUGACUUGAGCCUGCAUAAAAAUAUUUGCUGAUUGAAGAGCCUUCUUGUGUGACCUAUGGCCAAUCAAGCAUGAACAGUAAUGCAUCAGAUCAGCUCAAUGCACUGAGAACAGUGUGUCAGUAUGAGAGUGAAUGGAGGCUGAGAAGAAAGCAGAGAGAGCAGCAAAGUACAGCUGCAGAAUAAAAACAGUUAAGUAAAAUUUACAGUAUAUCUUUAUUGCAUUAAAAUAUGUUAUAAUUUCACUAAGUACUUACAAUACACAGAUUUUAAAUAUUAUGAAUAUUAUACGUACUAUAAAUAAAAUGCAUAAUAAUUCCAGCCGAUGAUGGGUUUCAGAUGAACUGACUCUUUAUACCUCAUCACUGUGUCCUCUCCAAAUCUGAUCCUUGUCCUGACCUGUGAAUUUACUUCUUGGCUUGACCUCAGGCCUUCUGUAUUACCAUGAACCUACCCAGUCAUUCUGGAUGCUAUGUUGAGCUUGGAUACCCUUUCCAGGUCCAUUCUGUUCACCUCCUUCAGCACUGUGGGAUCUGAGCACUGGAUGAUGUGCCCUGCCACCCGUUUUUGUGCUCAGCCCUACUCUUCCCACAAUUCAUGCAUCUGCCAGUGCUCCCUAAAAAAUCUUGCCAAAGCACAUCUGAUGCUGUUGCUUCUUCAGAUGACUCUGUUCAGCUUGCAGCAAAGCUCAAAAUAUUUAUAUUACUUUUCCAAGGCUCUCUAUGGGGACUUGAUAUUAAUUUAUUUUCUGCAUAGAUUAUCAUAUAUACUUUAUUUACUGUGGUAUACUUUAAUGUUUGGUAACACAUGUAGCAUUUUCUGUGCUCUGUGGUGAAUUUACCUGGAGAAUGGGUCAAAAUUACCAGAAUCGGACCUAAAAUGAGGUCUGAAUUUGAUUCUACUGAAUCCUUCUGUUUGUUAUUUAGGAUUAUGGUAACCACAAACUGAGG